GAGAUAUGGACAGGACGGUUAUGUGUUUGAUUGCAAAUCAAAAGAAAUGGGUUCAAUUCCUGUAUAUCUCU
rnacentral:tRNA from 1 species